UGUAGAAACUUUGUUCAGGAAGAUUUCUCAGUAGCUCAGAGGACAGGCUGCUUUUUACACAACCUUGUAAGAGAAUGUCUGUCAAUGCUUUCAGCAGAAUUUAGAAACACAACACUUCCUAAACAGAUAUUUUGAGGCUGUGAGGUUGAACGUUUGAGAGUAUAUCAGUGUGUUUGUUUGUGGUCUUUCUGUUUCUAGGUGGAAGCUGAAUUAGUGAGGAUGACUCCUGCUCCUGUCAUCUCUAAGCUCCUCACACAUCUUUACCUGCACAUGAGGAAAAUCACUCCUGUAGAAUGCAGAUGUUCAGAGGGAGAUGAUGCCACAUCUGGUCCAGCUGAUGGAAGGUCUUGAAGUUCUCUGACUGGCCUCGACUGAAGAUGGUCGUCUCUCUGGAUUUAAGGUUCAGAUGCUCAGUAACAAACUCCACCAAUGAGCCAACAGGGAAGCUUUAGGUUUAUUAAAUGUUGCUAUGAAGGUUUUGCUGUGUUUCUUUGUGAAUGCAAUGUGCUCCAACAGAAACUUGAAUUAGAACUUAGAAGUAAAUCCUUCCAUCUCAAAGGAUUUAGUUGCAUUAAUAACCUCAUAACAUUCUAAUUUUUAUUCCAGUCUUGGUUGUAAAUAGAAUCUCUGUAUUGAUUCAGGUAAAAACUGAACUUCACAGCAUGUUGGAGCAAAACAACCAGAUGAAAACUGUGAAGGUCUUGGAUUGUCAGACCGUAAUGUUGCAGCUCAAAGCAGCUUUUCUAUCUCAGUUCAUUCUGACAUUCAGCUAUGAAUCAACACAGCAGAUGGUGAUCCAUGCUGUGGAAGUCUCACAUCUCCUGAUUUAAUGGAGCUGCUUUGCACUUUUUACACUGUUUAUUCACCAACACUUUAUUUAAUAAAAGUCCCAUCUAGUUUUUAUGAGGAAUGUGAUGUUUUAAUUUCUUCUGCAGUCUAAUGUAACAGCUGGAAUUGUAACAUCUGUCCCGAUAUUGAUGAAACUUUAGCGUUGCCAUGGAUACAUGAGUGUUAAAUUCAGUCUAUGUUUCCAUUUUGAGAAAUUCCGUCCAGCAGAUGAGUUGUUUUUUACUGCCAGCUACCAUUCAGUCUGAGAUAUUAAGAAUAAAUAAAUGUGCAUAAUGUGGAAAUGAACAGAUUUUAUUUUUAUUUAUUCGUACAGCUGCUACAGGUAAGGUUCCAGAAUGUGGAGGAAUUUAGUCUCACAAUCACAGACAAUAAAUGUUUAUCAGCACAAUACAAAAAGAUUCAUUUUAGAGAUAUUCCAGUUAAGACUCUAGAAUAUCAUGAUUUAUGUAAAUUUACCUCAAUAAUAUGAAUGUUCAGGUUAAGAUUGUGCAGUGAUAUUUAUUAUGUAAGUUUAGCUGAUUAAAGUUUAUGACUCUGCACUACAAUAUUAUUUAAAUUUACAUCAUUAUUGUAAUAUUUAGGGUCAGACCCUACAGUAUUGAGAUUUAGAAAUCAAAUAUUCUAUAAAAUGUAAAUACGCUGAACUAAGUUGGAUGUAUUUAAGUGAGACUCUACAAUAUUAUUUGACACAAAUCUAUCUAAAUCAAAAUUUUAAUCAUUUUACUCCAAACAUUUACUGGACUGAUUUAAACAUUAAAAUCACUCCUUUCUAAUCCUCUGCUGUACGUUCAAACCUGAGGCCUUAAAUAGAAACACACAAGUAUCUGAUUGAAGGAACUUCUGCAGAGUUCUGGUUCCAGAACAUGAUGAUAGAAUUAUAGACAAACUUUAACAAAAGCUGCCUGAGAGUUUACAGGUUUUUAUGUUAGAUUUCUUCAGUAAUUUAAUGAGAGUUAUCAGCAAUAAUCAAGUGUUCAUUUGAUGAACUUCAUUUCCUAAAACAUCCAGAAUUGGAGCUCAUAUCUUUGGCAGCUGUAAAGUUUCUGCUCCUUAGUUCACAACACAAUGAAUUAAUUCCUAAAACACUCUCAAUGCUGGAGAGCGUUUGAUGCUGAAGCAGUGACCAGUUUUUCUGUUUCUUCUCUGGAGAUGCACAAUGAGGGACGUCUGCAGCGACUGAGAAAGAGUCUCACCACAUCCUGACAUGAGGAAAAAGACUUUAUUGAAGACUAGAAUGAGGAAAAACUAUCAGACAGCAGACGGCUGCAUUCAAGGUGAGCUCUGAACAUUUGAUCUGGAACAGGAAUUCAAUAACGGCAGCAUGAGCUUCAUUUCUGUCUGUAGCUGCUGAAUUCAUGGAUGAAUCAUCUGGCACUAGAGAGGAAGACCAUCAAACAUCCACGUCAGCUGAUGGAGGUCCAAGAGUCUCACUGAACAAACAACCUACAGAGUGAAGACCUCUAACCUGAUUGGACGGCCUUCUAUUCAGCCACAUGUGUGAACAAAUGCCUCUAAGUUGAUUUGUUUUCUAAAAUAAAUCUAGUUUGAGUCCUAAUCUAUGCCUGUGUGUUUGCUUCUGUACACUGCUGUUAACAGUUUAGGCUGUUAGAUUGUUCCAGAUAAGACGAGUACAAGAUUCUUCAGAGCCGUUCUACCAAGAGCCUGACAGGAAGAACUCCAACAGCUACUGAAUGUUCCUGUGGUCCCCUCAAGGCUACAGGAGGAGCCCUACGAGGACGAGCCGGUCCACCUGAUGGCAGCCAGUCGCUGCGGUUCAAAGCCAACACCGACUACGUGGACUUCUACUGGACCACACGGAGGCCUUCAAACCGGACCAACAAGUUCACCGACUCCCCGACUCGUGGGUCUGAGGACGCUGCCGAGCCUCGGUCCAGCAGGCCUCCUGUCUGUGGAUGUUUGAGUGCUGAGAGGUUUGUGGAUGCAUGUGAACAUGUCUGUGUUGAAACAGCA